rnacentral:rRNA from 1 species
AGAGUUUGAUCCUGGCUCAGGACGAACGCUGGCGGCGUGCUUAAUACAUGCAAGUCGAACGAGGUCCAUCUGGUGGCAACACCGGAGAAGACCUAGUGGCGAACGGGUGAGUAGCACGUGAGCAACCUGCCCCGAAGACUGGGAUAACACCGGGAAACCGGUGCUAAUACCGGAUACCCCCACCGGACCACAUGAUCUGGUGAGGAAAGGAUUCUGCUUCGGGAGGGGCUCGCGGCCUAUCAGCUUGAUGGUGAGGUAACGGCUCACCAUGGCGACGACGGGUAGCUGGUCUGAGAGGACGAUCAGCCACACUGGGACUGAGACACGGCCCAGACUCCUACGGGAGGCAGCAGUAGGGAAUCUUGCGCAAUGGGCGAAAGCCUGACGCAGCAACGCCGCGUGAGGGACGAAGGCUUUCUGAGUUGUAAACCUCUUUCAGCAGGGACGAUUGUGACGGUACCUGCAGAAGAAGCACCGGCCAACUACGUGCCAGCAGCCGCGGUGAUACGUAGGGUGCGAGCGUUGUCCGGAUUUAUUGGGCGUAAAGAGCUCGUAGGCGGUUCGAUUAGUCGGGUGUGAAAACUCCAGGCUCAACCUGGAGUCGCCACUCGAUACUGUCGUGACUCGAGUCCGGUAGGGGACCAUGGAAUUCCUGGUGUAGCGGUGAAAUGCGCAGAUAUCAGGAGGAACACCAGUAGCGAAGGCGGUGGUCUGGGCCGGCACUGACGCUGAGGAGCGAAAGCGUGGGGAGCGAACAGGAUUAGAUACCCUGGUAGUCC